UUUAAGCAAGUCAUCUGAACUCUGGUUUUUUCUUCAUUUCUCCUCAUUCAAAUUACUUCUGAUAGAAGCACUAAACUGCAACCACUAAUAGCCCUGUAUGCCUUAUCUAAUCAGUAAAUUUGCCUCCAGCUUUCCAGUGAGUUCCAUUUCAGCUCCUUUAUCAUGGCAGUGACGUAACUAUAUUGCUCAACAUUUCUGUGGAUAUGUCUUUCAGUCCUUCUUUGUAAAUCCUCCAGUAUGAACUGAACUGAACUGAAUUGUUCUAAUUGCCUGUAAACAACAGUUGUGUUGUAUAAGGCAUCAUCAGUGCUUAAUUGCAGAAUCAACAAAUUGCUGCCUUACUGAUGAUGGUACAACAACUACUGGCUGCACAAGCUGUGUCGGCUGCACAACCAACCAACCAGUACAACAAGUGCUGCCGACCUGCAUACCAAUGUUCUGGCAAUUUAAUGAAACAGAAGAAGAAUGGCUCCAAUACCUGACUCAGUUCCAAGCACAUUGUCAAGUUCAUCAUGUUGAAGUUACUGACAAGACAGUGUUGCCCGAACUGCCACAUUGGACUGUAGAGGGUGGAGAUUUCACCAGAAAAAAUAACUUACAUAGGAAAAUGAAAUUUCAAGAUGAUCGUAAAAAUGUAUCUUGUAUUACUUAGAUAGGAAUCCUAUGUUACAUGUUUCAAAUUUUGACUUGAUUCACGCCUUGGGAGUAUCUCUUGUG